rnacentral:rRNA from 1 species
UUAAGCUAUAAAGAGCGCAGGGUGGAUGCCUUGGCACUAAGAGCCGAUGAAAGACGUGAUAAGCUGCGAAAAGCUUCGGGGAGGAGCAAAUAUCCUUUGAUCCGGAGAUAUCUGAAUGGGGAAACCUGGCUGAGCAAACCUCAGUCGGCGUAUGGUGAAUACAUAGCCAUACGUUGGGAACCCGCUGAACUGAAACAUCUAAGUAGGCGGAGGAAAAGAAAGAAAACUCGAUUUCCAAAGUAGCGGCGAGCGAAAUGGAAGGAGCCUAAACCGGCGUGCGUGCAUGCCGGGGUUAUGGACUGCAUAAAGCGAGGAGAUUCAUUAACAGAACGGUCCUGGAAAGACCGGCCACAGAGGGUGAAAGCCCCGUAUGUGAAAAUGAUAUCCAGUGAGCAGGAUCCAAAGUACCACGAGACACGAGAAACCUUGUGGGAAUUCGGGGGGACCACCCCCCAAGGCUAAAUACUCCUUAGUGACCGAUAGCGCAUAGUACUGUGAAGGAAAGGUGAAAAGGACCCCGGGAGGGGAGUGAAAAAGAACCUGAAACCCUGUGUUUACAAGCUGUGGAACCACAUUUUAGGUGGAACCGCGUACUUUUUGUAGAACGGUCCGGCGAGUUGCCGGGACUGGCAAGGUUAAGCACUGAAGGUGUGGAGCCGAAGGGAAACCAAGUCUUAAUAGGGCGCAGAGUCAGUUCAGGCAGACCCGAAACCGGGUGAUCUACCCAUGUCCAGGUUGAAGUUUCCGUAAAAGGAAAUGGAGGACCGAACGCACAUCCGUUGAAAAGGGUGGCGAUGAGGUGUGGGUAGGGGAGAAAUUCCAAUCGAACCCGGAGAUAGCUGGUUCUCCUCGAAAUAGCUUUAGGGCUAGCCUCGUAUUAGUUUAGCGGAGGUAGAGCACUGAAUUCUUAAGGGGGCGUCAAAGCUUACCAAGAGAUAUCAAACUCCGAAUGCCGCAUAAAUGAUGUACGGGAGUCAGACUGCACGAGAUAAGUUGGGUAGUCAAAAGGGAAAGAGCCCAGACCUACAGCUAAGGUCCCAAAGUGUGUGUUAAGUGGAAAAGGAUGUGGGAUUUCAAAGACAACUAGGAUGUUGGCUCAGAAGCAGCCACACAUUCAAAGAGUGCGUAAUAGCUCACUAGUCGAGAGGUCCUGCGCCGAAAAUGUCCGGGGCUGAAACACAACACCGAAGCUUAGGAAUUGACGUAAGUCAAUUGGUAGAGGAGCAUUCUUAACUGCGGAGAAGCGUUACCGUAAGGAGGCGUGGAGUGUUAAGAAGAGAGAAUGCCGGAAUGAGUAGCGAGAUGGAGGUGGGAAUCCUCCAGGCCGAAUAUCUAAGGUUUCCAGAGUAAAGCUGAUCUGCUCUGGGUAAGUCGGGGCCUAAGGCGAGGUCGAAAGACGUAGUCGAUGGACAACAGGUUGAAAUUCCUGUACCGCGUAUUAUCAGAACUGUGGGGACACAGAACCGAAGCCAAACCCGGGAAUGAAAAGACCGGGGCAAGCGCCGGACUGGUUAGACUGGAAAAUCCGUUUAACAACAGGAAAGCGUGAUGCGUACCGAACAAAAGUAGGGAAGUUGGUAUAGGGGCUGUCAAGAAAAGCCGCUAUUGUGUAAUACGUGCCCGUACCGUAAACCGACACAGGUGGAUGAGGAGAGAAUCCUAAGGCCGGCGGGAGAAGCAUUGUUAAGGAACUCGGCAAAAUGACCCUGUAACUUCGGGAUAAAGGGUGCCCACGAGAGUGGGCCGCAGAGAAUAGGCUCAAGCAACUGUUUAGCAAAAACACAGGUCUAUGCAAAACCGAAAGGUGAGGUAUAUGGGCUGACGCCUGCCCGGUGCUGGAAGGUUAAGGGGAGAGGUUAGCGCAAGCGAAGCUUUGAACUUAAGCCCCAGUAAACGGCGGCCGUAACUAUAACGGUCCUAAGGUAGCGAAAUUCCUUGUCGGGUAAGUUCCGACCCGCACGAAAGGCGUAAUGAUUUGGGCACUGUCUCAACAAUGCACCCGGUGAAAUUGAAGUACCAGUGAAGAUGCUGGUUACCUGCGCCAGGACGGAAAGACCCCAUGGAGCUUUACUC